CACGUUGAAACAUCGCUUAUCGUCCUAUCACUAAAGUUAAGCAACGUCGAGCAUGGUCAGUACCUAGAUGGGUGACCGUUUGGGAGUUCUACGUGCUGUAC